AUUGAACGCUGGCGGCAGGCCUAACACAUGCAAGUCGAACGAGUGGCGGACGGGUGAGUAAUGUCUGGGAACCUGCCCGAUGGAGGGGGAUAACUACUGGAAACGGUAGCUAAUACCGCAUACCAUCGGAUGAGCCCAGAUGGGAUUAGCUAGGAGGUGGGGUAACGGCUAACCUAGGCGAAGAUCCCUAGCUGGUCUGAGAGGAUGACCAGCCACACUGGAACUGAGACACGGCCCAGACUCCUACGGGAGGCAGCAGUGGGGAAUAUUGCACAAUGGGAGCAAGCCUGAUUCAGCCAUGCCGCGUGUAUGAAGAAGGCCUUCGGGUUGUAAAGUACUUUCAGCGAGGAGGCGUUACUCGAAGAAGAAGCACCGGCUAACUCCGUGCCAGCAGCCGCGGUAAUAC
rnacentral:rRNA from 1 species